AUCUGAUUGGUGGACCAAUGAGAUGUAAGCAGCCCUACUACUUAAGGACUCUUAUUUUGAGGGGUAGCGUGGUGUCUGGUUGAUUCUGAGUUCUCCUCUUCCUGGCAUUCCCCUUUCCGUUCCUCACUGCGGCAGUUUGAAUUUAGAGUGGGGCUGGUGGCAUCGAUAUUGCUGCAAGUGUGUGGCGGAGUUCGCUUACAGGAGCCAGUGAGGACUCUGUGUGGGGCAGGGGAGGCUAGCCGCUUUCCUUCCAUGGUGUGUCUCACGGGGUGUUGUGUGUGUGUGUUGGUACAAUUUGCUUUACUGUGUGUGUGUGAGGUGCUUGCUGUGGUGUGAAUUUAGGUGGGUUUGGAUGACCUCCCGAGUUGCAGCCGGCCUGCCCUGUUCCCACUAAGCCUGGCCCUGGAGUUAUUCUAAUAAUCUGGUGGUGUGUUUCUGGAGAGAGA